rnacentral:lncRNA from 1 species
UAGCCUGCCAGUCUGGCAGGUAGCAUUUAUUUCUUCUAGGCCUUUCCUUGCCUAAACAGAGAAGAAAUAGACAAACCAGACUUAUCCUGUUGGAAAUGGGGUCCAGAUUUCUCUACUCCCAAGCCCAAAAAA